rnacentral:rRNA from 1 species
AGUGAACGCUGGCGGUAGGCCUAACACAUGCAAGUCGAACGGCAGCACAGAGGAGCUUGCUCCUUGGGUGGCGAGUGGCGGACGGGUGAGGAAUACAUCGGAAUCUACUCUGUCGUGGGGGAUAACGUAGGGAAACUUACGCUAAUACCGCAUACGACCUACGGGUGAAAGCAGGGGACCUUCGGGCCUUGCGCGAUUGAAUGAGCCGAUGUCGGAUUAGCUAGUUGGCGGGGUAAAGGCCCACCAAGGAGACGAUCCGUAGCUGGUCUGAGAGGAUGAUCAGCCACACUGGAACUGAGCCACGGUCCAGACUCCUACGGGAGGCAGCAGUGGGGAAUAUUGGACAAUGGGCGCAAGCCUGAUCCAGCCAUACCGCGUGGGUGAAGAAGGCCUUCGGGUUGUAAAGCCCUUUUGUUGGGAAAGAAAUCCAGCUGGCUAAUACCCGGUUGGGAUGACGGUACCCAAAGAAUAAGCACCGGCUAACUUCGUGCCAGCCGCCGCGGUAA